ACAUGUCAGACAUACUAAUCCAAACUAACACAGUAAAUUUUUGGAAACAACAAAUUAUAUUCAUAUGCAGUGCAACCGUUGAGGGCGUACAUUGGACCCAGGAUUAUCUUGUGGUUAGUAUUUGAAAUCUUUUGGUCGUGCUUUUUUUUCCAUAUGUGAAGUCUGAAGAUAAUCUUUUUUUCAAUACUUGCUCUUAUUUGGAUAAACAAUAAUUGCUUGGAAACUCCACUGAUACUUAGAGAUAAAUUCCAUAGCCCGCUGUACUCCUUCCUCCAUGCUGCCAACUGUGCUUUCUGUUAUUUGCCUCCUCUUAAGUAUCACGUGGGUCGUAUCAUACUCUUCCUAUUUACUUGGAAACUCCAUACUCUUCCUAUACUCACUCUAUUUUGUUCCCAACUCAUUCUUUCUCUCAUUCACAUUCGCUCUCUAGAGAGAAAAUUGUUCGUUUGGGUUGGAUCUUGCUAUUUUGACAAAGCUGUUUUGCCAACGUUUUGACAAUGUCACGUGACGGCACGUGAUUGGUGCGUUUUUAAAUAAAUUUUAAUGCAUAAUUGUGACGUGGAAAGGGCUUUCAGUUCAGAGUUUUUAGCUUCCAAAGAUACGCCUUGCUCUGUUUCAUCUCCCUCUUUAGUUUCCGUUCUCUCUCGUUUCGUGUUUGCUCUCCCUCCAUUCUCAUCCUUGAAGCUUUGUUGAAGGUGUCGUUUUUCGUUC
rnacentral:lncRNA from 1 species